CUUCAGUUUCUCCUACAUGCAUAUAUACUGCAUUUAAGAUGACUAUCACACCCAAAUUGCCAAAUAUCCCAUUUCUCUUGGUCCUUCUGAUGAUGAUGAUGGCAUUUCUCUUUAUUUCUGCCUACCCAGCUCGAUUUUGCAUCCCGCGACCGCAGCAGGCAAAUGCACCCCCAGAAUAUUUCUCACCAGGAGCUCCACAUUGCAUUAGAACUUGAGCACCGCCACAAUUGUAGCACAGAGGCAGAAGAAGGAAACAUAUAUAUAUAUAUACAUCGCUCGAUCAAAUCGGCCCAUGCAGAAGGGUGAAGAAUAAAAUUUUAAAAAAUAAAAAAUAAGAUUAAUUGCUUAAAAGAAGGAACCAUAUAUUUACUGAAUGUGAAACUGUUGUUUAUUUUGCGUUUUAAUGUGUAUCAGUAUUUGUUUGUUUGCUAUUUUGAAUUGUGAUUUGAUACAUCAAUGUUUUGAGUGUACUUUUUUUUUUUU